rnacentral:rRNA from 1 species
AACGAACGCUUUCUUCCUUCCUAACACAUGCAAGUCGAACGAGACCUUCGGGUCUAGUGGCGCACGGGUGCGUAACGCGUGGGAACCUGCCCUUAGGUUCGGAAUAACUCCCCGAAAGGGGUGCUAAUACCGGAUAAUGUCUUCGGACCAAAGAUUUAUCGCCUUUGGAUGGGCCCGCGUUGGAUUAGCUAGUUGGUAGGGUAAAAGCCUACCAAGGCGACGAUCCAUAGCUGGUCUGAGAGGAUGAUCAGCCACACUGGGACUGAGACACGGCCCAGACUCCUACGGGAGGCAGCAGUGGGGAAUAUUGGACAAUGGGCGAAAGCCUGAUCCAGCAAUGCCGCGUGAGUGAUGAAGGCCUUAGGGUUGUAAAGCUCUUUUAACCGGGAUGAUAAUGACAGUACCGGGAGAAUAAGCUACGGCUAACUCCGUG